AGCCCAAAUCGCGGCAGCGUGCUGCCGCGAGGUUGUAGGACCGCAUUUAGAAAGCAUCGUCAAGCCGAACCCUCUGGAAAGUGGGACCAUAGCAGGUGACAGUCCUGUAGGCGUACAUCGAUGUGGACGAGCGGUAUCCUGAGUAGGGCGGGACCGGAGAAAUCCUGCCUGAAUCCGCCGGCACCAUCCGGUAAGGCUAAAUACUCCUCAGAGACCGAUAGUGAACCAGUACCGUAAGGGAAAGGUGAAAAGAACCCCGGAGAGGGGAGUGAAAUAGAACCUGAAACCGUGUGCCUACAAGCGGUCGGAGUUCGCCUUGGCGAAUGACGGCGUGCCUUUUGCAUAAUGAGCCUACGAGUUGCUCCUCACUGGCAAGGUUAAGUUCCAGAAUAACGGAGCCGCAGCGAAAGCGAGUCCGAACAGGGCGUUCAGUCAGUGGGGGCAGACGCGAAACUUUGUGAUCUAUCCAUGGGCAGGUUGAAGUCCCGGUAACACGGGAUGGAGGACCGAACUCAUUAACGUUGAAAAGUUAUGGGAUGACCUGUGGAUAGGGGUGAAAGGCCAAUCAAACUGAGAGAUAGCUCGUUCUCCCCGAAAUGUUUUUAGGAACAGCCUCGGAUUUUAGACGUUUACCAGAGGUAGAGCUACUGAUUGGGCUAGGGGGCUUCACCGCCUACCAAACCCUGACAAACUCCGAAUGCUGGUAAAUAUCUCCGGGAGUGAGGCUGCGGGCGCUAAGGUCCGUGGCCGAGAGGGAAAUAACCCAGAUUAGCGACUAAGGUCCCCAAUACGUGGUUAAGUUGAUCAAACGAGGUGGGGUUUCUAUGACAGCCAGGAUGUUGGCUUGGAAGCAGCCAUUCAUUCAAAGAGUGCGUAACAGCUCACUGGUCGAGAGACCCUGCACGGAAAAUGAUCGGGCAUCAAAUCACGAACCGAAGUCCUAAGAUACGCCUCUGGCGCAUCGGUAGGGGAGCAUUCUGAUCCGCGUGAAGGUGUGUGGCGACGCAUGCUGGAGCGUUCAGAAAAGAAAAUGUAGGCAUGAGUAACGAUUAAUAAGGUGAAAAACCUUAUCGCCGUAAGUCUAAGGUUUCCUGAUCAACGUUAAUCGGAUCAGGGUCAGUCGGGUCCUUAGGCGAACCCGAAAGGGGUAGCUGAUGGAAAACUGGUCAACAUUCCAGUACCCGCUGCAGUUUCGAAGGGGUGACGAAGUGGUGAAAGGACCGCGAGGGCACGGCUUCCCUCGUUGAAGCACGUAGCUAUAUCCCGCAUCGGCAAAUCCGUGCGGGUUGGCGAAAUGCGAUAGUACCGCAAAGCCUCGGCAGAGCGGAUAGUGUCCCUAAAGACUUCCGAGAAAAACCUCUAAGGCCAGGCUGCAGCGGCCCGUACCGCAAUCCGACACAGGUAGACGGGAUGAAUAUUCUCAGGCGCUCGGGUGAGCCGUGGAGAAGGAACUAGGCAAAUUGACGCUGUAACUUCGGGAUAAAGCGUACCAUAGCGAUAUGGUCUCAGUGAAAUGGUCCAACCAACUGUUUAGCAAAAACACAGGGCCCUGCAAAAUCGAAAGAUGAAGUAUAGAGCCUGAAACCUGCCCGGUGCUGGAAGGUUAAGGAAGGGUGUUCGGCGCAAGCCAAAGCUCCUGACUGAAGCCCCAGUAAACGGCGGCCGUAACUAUAACGGUCCUAAGGUAGCGAAAUUCCUUGUCGGGUAAGUUCCGACCUGCACGAAUGGUCUAAUGAGUUGGACGCUGUCUCCUCCACGAGCCCGGUGAAAUUGUAGUAUCGGUGAAGAUGCCGGUUACCCGCCACGGGACGGAAAGACCCCGUGAACCUUCACUACAGCUUUGCAUUGACUUUGAGUUUUAGAUGUGUAGCAUAGUUGGGAGACUGCGAAGCGGUGCCGCCAGGUGCCGUGGAGUCAACGUUGAAAUACCAACCUUCUGACACUUAGAGUCUAAUCCGCCCAGCGGAAACAGUGCAUGGUGGGUAGUUUGACUGGGGUGGUCGCCUCCUAAAGAGUAACGGAGGCUCGCAAAGGUACCCUCAGUACGGUUGGUAAUCGUACGCAGAGCGCAUUAGUAUAAGGGUGCUUGACUGUGAGGCUGACCAGCCGAGCAGGUGCGAAAGCAGGCUAAAGUGAUCCGGUGGUUCUGUAUGGAAGGGCCAUCGCUCAAAGGAUAAAAGGUACUCCGGGGAUAACAGGCUGAUCUCCCCCAAGAGCUCAUAU
rnacentral:rRNA from 1 species